rnacentral:lncRNA from 1 species
AUUUGAUCCAAAAAUCUCCUAAGUGCUUUAAUGAAAAAAUAUUGAUUUAGAAAGGAGUUUGAGAAAUUAAAGAAGAAAAAGGUGAAAUUGAUGCCCCAAGGUAAUAGUUAUUAGUGUUUAUUUGAUGUCUAGAGGUUGGGAGUGAUAUAAAUAGUGUUAGAAACAUUCCCAUGAUUGAAGAAAAUGAGAAAAAUUAAAGCUUGAAGGAAUAAACAAUGUUCCCACUAUGUGUUUAUGAAAAUGCUUAAAAGAGAUAGGGCAAAAUAAAAGAAUGGGGUAGACAAAAGUGGUGUAAUUUGGUUGUUGGAGAUUAUUUUUAAAUGUUUAAUGUAGUGUAUUAAAGUAUUUAGAAAGGUUAGUCACUAUUCCCAAAUAGUUUCUACCCAUCCCUUAGCCUACAUUAUAACCCAGAAAAGACCUAUUUGAUCCUAAAUUCAUUAUUAUAAUACUAGUGGAGCAUUACACUAAAGGAAAGCCUAUGGUUCAUUGUGUGUAACUUGCUAAGUCUUUAUGAGAGUGAGUGUAAUUUGAUUUUUGUACCUGUAAUGUUCUAAAUUGCUUAAUUAUGAGUUAUUAUGGGUAACUCUCUUGUUGUGGAGGGCACAUGUUUGAUGAAUGUGGGUGAUUUGUAUGUUUUUCUUUAUUUAAUGAUAAGCAUGAUUUUUCCAAAUAAGUGAGUCAAUUCUUGAGGUUAGGAUGUUUUGGAGUAGUGUUCAUAAGCUCUCAAUUAUGUUUGUAACAUGCUUAGAGUAGAACUUGCAUUCCGUGUAGUCAUUGUAGUACUAUCUUGAGUGUAUUUCAUGUAGUAUAAGUAUAGAGUCUCUAGCUCAUGAUGUUUAUAGUGAAGAUUUGUUCGAGGAUGAACAAGAAGUAUGGGGUAGUGAUGUUGGGUGUAUUUAUAUAUUUUAGCAUCACUAUUCUAGCCUUUUUAGCCUUGUUUUGAGGAUGAUUCCAAGCUAUAUGGGUUGAUAAUGAGAUAAACGUGUAUCAAAGUGUUAAAGAAUGUGUUUAUGAUGUCCAAAUAGGGUUUCAACAAGUUUGUACUUCAAAGAUUCAUUUAGAAUUCAACCCCAAAAACUAGCGUUACUAGCUUGAGUUAGGUGCUUGUCUAGUUGAUUUUGGUGGAUUCUAGUGUGUGUAAAGUGUUUCUUAUGGUUUUAAUGUGUAAUUAUGAGUGUAAUAACUUGUUGUUAGUGAGAAAAAUUCAAUUUUAUUGAGUGUACAGCUGGAACAAUAAGUUGAAGAUUAACAUGAACUAGCCUAGUUUAGUUCUUGUUUUGAUUCAUCUUUAUAAGUAGUGUGUUGUGUUUGUCUCCUAAUUCAUGUGGUGUGAGUUUGUAAGAUAAUUUAAGAGAUGAAUAUGAUGAUAUUUUGAUGAUAAAAAGGCUUUAAAUCCAUGGAAAAUACACCACAGUACAAGGAACUAAGAGAGGAGACUCAACACUUAACCAAAAUUCGGAGAGCAACUUCCAGAGGCUCAGGGCGAUAUUGAGGCACCGCCCCACCUGGAGCAGG